AUGAAUAAAACACCUACAUACAUAAAUAAUCCAAGGCAUUAUAAAUCGAGCAGCUCACGUUAUCCACAUAUCCAUAUUCAGUUUUACACAUCAUUUCAUAGAUACAAAAGUUGUGGACUCGGAAAAACCUACAAGAUCAUAUACAGAAUUCCAAAUCAAACAAGUUUAGAAAUUUCAUGCAAAAUAGUUCCACACCUUGCCGACUAA